AUUGAACGCUGGCGGCGUGCUUAACACAUGCAAGUCGAACGCGAAAGGGACUUCGGUCCUGAGUAAAGUGGCGCACGGGUGAGUAACGCGUGGAUAAUCUGCCCUUAUGAUCGGGAUAACAGUUGGAAACGGCUGCUAAUACCGGAUACGCUCAAGAUGAACUUUUUGAGGAAAGAUGGCCUCUGCUUGCAUGCUAUCGCAUAGGGAUGAGUCCGCGUCCCAUUAGCUUGUUGGCGGGGUAACGGCCCACCAAGGCAACGAUGGGUAGCCGAUUUGAGAGGAUGAUCGGCCACACUGGAACUGAAACACGGUCCAGACUCCUACGGGAGGCAGCAGUGGGGAAUAUUGCGCAAUGGGCGAAAGCCUGACGCAGCGACGCCGCGUGAGGGAUGAAAGGUUUUCGGAUCGUAAACCUCUGUCAGAAGGGAAGAAACUACGUUGUGCUAAUCAGCAGCGUACUGACGGUACCUUCAAAGGAAGCACCGGCUAACUCCGUGCCAGCAGCUGC
rnacentral:rRNA from 1 species